CUUGUACUCCCUUCAUCCCAAAUUACUUGUCACAGAAAUGAAUAAAAAUGAAUGUAUCUAGAACUAAAAUACAUCUAGGUACAUCCAUUUCUCCGACAAGUAUUUCCGGACGGAGGGAGUAUGUA
rnacentral:pre_miRNA from 1 species